GCUUUUCAAGCGGUCUGUGUCUUGAAAAAGUGAGAACUACAGCAUCGCCCUAGGCAUGGCAGCAGAGGGAAGCUGAGAAAACGUGGUGUUCUGAUUUAUACGUUCUGCGACAAAGCUCCUUUCACCAUAUGUGAUUCCUGUGUCAUCUAGGUCAAAGAAGCCUGGGCUGUAAAAUGGUUAAAUCCAGGAAAUGAGGAAGAUAUCACAAUCACAGAGAUGCAAACCUCCCUCAUGUCCUGAGGCUGUCUGACUCAAGCACUAUAUUGCAUCAAUGGUAAUAUCUUCCAAACAUGUGAGGUAGAAUGUUACAAUUUUUUUGCUUUUUUAUCUGCAAAGGGUCAGGGAUUGACCUGAAGGCCCAUUCAUCCAGGAUGGACUUCAAACACGGAGGACUCUAAAUCUGGCCUUCAGAAUAAAGUCU